rnacentral:lncRNA from 1 species
AAAAGGUACAAAAUGGUAAAAUAAAUAGUAAGAAAUUAUAAAAAAAAUUAAAUAAAAUAGCAAGCAUAAAAAUAAAAUAAAUGGAGAUAUGUUAUUCCCAAGUAUCAAAUCCAUCCCACUAAAGAAAGUGAAAUUACUUCCUCUCCACUCGGCCACUUAUGUUCAUUUGUUACCUUAACAACAACUUAAAUAUAUAAACAAGAAUAGAUAAAGAUAAAUUAAAAUAAAAAAAUAACUAAAACGAGAUGGGCUGCCGGGUUAUUUUU